rnacentral:rRNA from 1 species
AGCGAACGCUGGCGGCAGGCCUAACACAUGCAAGUCGAACGAACUCUUCGGAGUUAGUGGCGGACGGGUGAGUAACACGUGGGAACGUGCCUUUAGGUCCGGAAUAACUCAGGGAAACUUGUGCUAAUACCGAAUGUGCCCUUCGGGGGAAAGAUUUAUCGCCUUUAGAGCGGCCCGCGUCUGAUUAGCUAGUUGGUGAGGUAAAGGCUCACCAAGGCGACGAUCAGUAGCUGGUCUGAGAGGAUGAUCAGCCACAUUGGGACUGAGACACGGCCCAAACUCCUACGGGAGGCAGCAGUGGGGAAUCUUGCGCAAUGGGCGAAAGCCUGACGCAGCCAUGCCGUGUGAAUGAUGAAGGUCUUAGGAUUGUAGAAUUCUUUCACCGGGGACGAUAAUGACGGUACCCGGAGAAGAAGCCCCGGCUAACUUCGUGCCAGCCGCCGCCGUAA